UUGGUGCCGCCGCUGCUCUCGUCCCGCUUCCUCGAUGCAGCUUCCUGCGUGCUCUAUGUCGUCGUGCGCGCGGGGCUGGCUGUGGGUGUGCUCCAGGACGCCACCGCCGCUCCCUCCUCCCCUACAUUCCCCUCAUCAUCACCGGAGGGCCCCAAUGGCGACGACAGUGCGUGUUCUUCUCUGCGGGGUUGGGUGCCCCUGGAUCCGGUCAGAGCCGGUGUGUGGAGGCCGACAAUAGCGGGGUUACGUGGCGGGAGAUACGGCUGUGUGGAGGCUUGCUUGUGGAGGAGGCGGCGGUGUGGAGGCCCCGGCUCAGGCUUCGUCGAUGGUGUCCCCUCCCUCCCUGGUCGUUGCUCGGUGCCUGUCGGGCUGGUGGCAACGUGCAAGUGCUCAGUCUUUGGGCGGUUUGUUGUUACGGCAGUUGCGGUGGCGGUUACCAGCUUCUCCCUAAGGACCGUAACUUCUCCUUGUAGCUUGGUCUUUAUUGUUUGCUAA
rnacentral:misc_RNA from 1 species